rnacentral:rRNA from 1 species
UACAGAGGGGGCAAGCGUUAUUCGGAAUUAUUGGGCGUAAAGGGCGCGUAGGCGGCAUCGCAAGUGGAAGGUGAAAUCCCUCGGCUUAACCGAGGAACUGCCCUCCAAACUGCGUUGCUUGAGGCCGGGAGAGGUGAGUGGAAUUCCCAGUGUAGCGGUGAAAUGCGUAGAUAUGUGGAGGAAUACCGAUGGCGAAGGCAGCCCCCUGGGGAUCAACACUGCGCUCAUGCAC